rnacentral:lncRNA from 1 species
AGAACCAUCUGUAUGUUGGCUAACUAUGUGUCCUCUUGGUUUAUUAAUAUGAUUUUAUGGAGUGACAGUACAAGGUGUUGCUUGGAUGACUUGUUUACUUGUUGAAGUAUAAUAUUUUUGAAGAAGCGUCCUUUUCUAACGUGACUAUAACAGAACCGUCUGUAUGUUGGCUAACUUAAUGCAUUCUGCUUGUUUAUCAAAUUGGCUCAGCAGUCGAGAUGCUUGCUCUCCUUAAAUCUGCUUGUCGGUUAAUUUAAUGGUGUUAUUGUCUUUUGUUCUUUGUAAGAACUCAUGAGUUUGUUUUCCAGGGAUGG